rnacentral:tRNA from 1 species
GAGGAAGUAGGUCAGUUGAUAGAGCAUUAGCCUUCCAAGCUGAGGGUCGCGGGUUUGAGCCCCGUCUUCCGCUCUA